ensembl:lncRNA SNHG20 small nucleolar RNA host gene 20
ACUCGCAGUCCGCAGGAUGACUCAGGGCAGCCCUGACCACAGUUCCGCCGCCAUCGGCCCUAGCCUGCGGAAUUGGGCUCGCCCCGGGACGAUAACAGAGCUCUGCCGGGGGCUGGAGGCACUGACCGGGUGACCAGAGACCCAGAGACCAGACCCCCUCCACGGCGCCCGGGAUUUCGGGGACGGCUUCUCCCAUCGCAAGUUUCAACAGAAAAUGAGAAAUAUCCCCCGACGAUUGGCUGAAAACAUGCAGCAACCACUAUUUUCUUCCUGCCCCUCGUUGAUGAGAGCAUUCGAAGUGACCUCAGCAGGGCAUCCAGGUCAGUUUCUGGAAGACUUGUGUGUGUGAUGAAUGAAUAUCUGGUUUUGUCUCUGCUGGGCCUGUGUGCCUGGAAAGGAAUUGUUUUGGCCUAGGAUCAUCCAGAUCAAUUAUGCAGCUACAGCCAAAACCAAGUUCUUUUUAUUGCAAUGGUAAUGAAAGGAGCCCCGUGUAAGUCACUGGAAGGUCACAUGUUCACAGACUGUCAGCUGUGGAGGGUUAUGUAACAGUGGUUAUGCAAUGCCACGUUAGAACUACAGCCCGAGCAGCAAAACAUUUAGAUA